GGAAUUAGCUCAAAUGGUAGAGCGCUCGCUUAGCAUGCGAGAGGUAGCGGGAUCGAUGCCCGCAUUCUCCAGUGUUUGUUUUCACUGUUUAUUCAUCGUGAAAUAAAAAGUGGUGAAAACGUUCCCUGUUUGUACCUCUACGUGAGAAAAAAUAAAUGUGAAAGACUUUGGGUGAAUUGUAAACCGAACACGUUCACGUGUUGCUUUCAGGAUUUGGUUUUGCUUUUCCUAAUGGUAUGGCUUCCUUUUGUGUUCGAGGGGGAAUACAAUCCUUAUUGGAAAGAACAAAACACUGACAAUUUAAUACAGUGGUAAACGACAUGAACAAAUUACAGAGAAAAUAAAUUAGGGAUUUUUAAUGUACCUUGAUAAAUGAGCUACGCUGUUCCAUAUGUUGUUUCUCCUAGCAAGAUUAUGUCCUUUCCUUUUGAAGCUUCACAUCUGUGCAAUACCAUGGAUAUUUUCUCUGUAAAACUAUGCUGCACAUUUUAUGUCAUUUUGAGAUAUUUUUAAUUCUGAUGUGAUUUUCUGACUCGCUGCUUGUACUCCAACCGUUUCACUGCUUGUACUCCAAGCUUGAGGAAGCAUGAGGAAACAGAGCAAAACUUUCCUGUAAAUAUAGACAGUUUGUGCAAUCAGAAUCUUGGGAGUACGCAUACUGAAAUGAAUGAAAAUACGGAAACAAAAUUAUGAAUUGGGGUUCAAUUUAAGGAAGGGGGAGAUACUGUGCUGCAUGGAUGUUCAAGAGACAAGAGAAGAAAGAACUUAACUUCUCGAUGGAUGGAACAGAAACAGAAUUUGCUUGUUUGUCUUAUAUUCUUUACAUAGUGGAGCAAAAAGAUGCAUUGUAACUUUAAAGCUGGUAGAUCAUUGUAGUUCAAAUGAGGUUCACUGGAGAGAAAAGUGUUAUGAUCUUCAGGAGUCCUUUCUGAGCUCAGACCUUGUUCCAAAUUUUACUUAAACAGUCAUCCUCGGAGAUAGGAUGGAGCCUGGGGACCAUUACUGUGGCAAUUCUGGAGACUGUCUGUAGAGCAAGAGAGUUGUCUGUAGAAGCUGCGUGCAAAAAUCUACACCGUAUAAAUAAGUUUAUUUGACAACAUGAUUGUAGUACAAUUAAUUUUCUGAGUUGAGCACCCAGGUCUAAGUUUUCUUAUAAGAUAUGUUAUGUGGUAUUUGACUAUGAAGUUUAUAAAAGGCUUUUGUUCUAAUGGUUACCAUUAGCCAUCAAUCAAGUUCUAAGCAUAGAAUCAUAGAAUUGUUUGAGUUGGAAGGGACCCUUAUAGGCAAUCCAGUACAACUCCCUGGCACUGAACAGAGAUAUCUACAGCUAGAUCAG
ensembl:lncRNA